AUUGAACGCUGGCGGCAGGCCUAACACAUGCAAGUCGAACGAGUGGCGGACGGGUGAGUAAUGUCUGGGAAACUGCCUGAUGGAGGGGGAUAACUACUGGAAACGGUAGCUAUUACCGCAUACCAUCGGAUGUGCCCAGAUGGGAUUAGCUAGUGGGUGGUGUAAAGGCUCACCUAGGGGACGAUCCGUAGCUGGUCUGAGAGGAUGACCAUCCAAGCGUGAACUGAGACACGGUCCAGACUCCUACGUGAGGCAGCAGUGGGGAAUAUUGCACAAUGGGCGCAAGCCUGAUGCAUCCAUGCCGCGUGUAUGAAGAAGGCCUUCGGGUUGUAAAGUACUUUCAGCGGGGAGGCGUUACCCGCAGAAGAAGCACCGGCUAACUCCGUGCCAGCAGCCGCGGUAAUAC
rnacentral:rRNA from 1 species